CCUACGGGAGGCAGCAGUGGGGAAUAUUGCACAAUGGGCGAAAGCCUGAUGCAGCGACGCCGCGUGAGGGAUGACGGCCUUCGGGUUGUAAACCUCUUUCAGCAGGGAAGAAGCGAAAGUGACGGUACCUGCAGAAGAAGCGCCGGCUAACUACGUGCCAGCAGCCGCGGUAAUACGUAGGGCGCAAGCGUUGUCCGGAAUUAUUGGGCGUAAAGAGCUCGUAGGCGGCUUGUCACGUCGGAUGUGAAAGCCCGGGGCUUAACCCCGGGUCUGCAUUCGAUACGGGCUAGCUAGAGUGUGGUAGGGGAGAUCGGAAUUCCUGGUGUAGCGGUGAAAUGCGCAGAUAUCAGGAGGAACACCGGUGGCGAAGGCGGAUCUCUGGGCCAUUACUGACGCUGAGGAGCGAAAGCGUGGGGAGCGAACAGGAUUAGAUACCCUGGUAGUCCACGCCGUAAACGUUGGGAACUAGGUGUUGGCGACAUUCCACGUCGUCGGUGCCGCAGCUAACGCAUUAAGUUCCCCGCCUGGGGAGUACGGCCGCAAGGCUAAAACUCAAGGAUUGACGG
rnacentral:rRNA from 1 species